rnacentral:rRNA from 1 species
AACGAACGCUGGCGGCAGGCCUAACACAUGCAAGUCGAACGAAGUCUUCGGACUUAGUGGCGGACGGGUGAGUAACACGUGGGAACGUGCCUUUAGGUUCGGAGUAACUCAGGGAAACUUGUGCUAAUACCGAAUGUGCCCUUCGGGGGAAAGAUUUAUCGCCUUUAGAGCGGCCCGCGUCUGAUUAGCUAGUUGGUGAGGUAAAGGCUCACCAAGGCUACGAUCAGUAGCUGGUCUGAGAGGAUGACCAGCCACAUUGGGACUGAGACACGGACCAAACUCCGACGGGAGGCAGCAGUGGGGAAUCUUGCGCAAUGGGCGAAAGCCUGACGCAGCCAUGCCGCGUGGAUGAUGAAGGUCUUAGGAUUGUAAAAUCCUUUCACCGGUGAAGAUAAUGACUGUAGCCGGAGAAGAAGCCCCGGCUAACUUCGUGCCAGCAGCCGCCGUAAAAC